rnacentral:rRNA from 1 species
UACGGGGGGGGGCAAGCGUUGUUCGGAAUUACUGGGCGUAAAGGGCGCGUAGGCGGCCAACUAAGUCAGACGUGAAAUCCCCCGGCUCAACCGGGGAACUGCGUCUGAUACUGGAUGGCUUGAGUUCGGGAGAGGGAAGUGGAAUUCCAGGUGUAGCGGUGAAAUGCGUAGAUAUCUGGAGGAACACCCGUGGCGAAGGCGGCUCUCUGGGACGGUACUGACGCUGAGACGCGAAAGCGUGGGGAGCGAACAGG